rnacentral:lncRNA from 1 species
AUAGGCAGACAGGUUAUUUAAUCAGAAACAGAUGAAAUGGAUCAGAGUGAAAAUUAAUAUUUGCAUGUGCUGUGUCUAAAAUAUUCAGUUAAUUAUAUAUACGUAUACUCCUGGAGUACAGAUGUGCAAAGCAUAUGCAGAAGAGUCAUUUUUUGUGCCACAACGUUUUUGUUCCUAAUAGUAUGUAUUGACUGUUUUAUUUAUGACAGAGCUCAUAAAUACAUUUCCUGACACAAGAACUUAAGCAUUUCUGUUUUGGAUUCUUUUGCACUGCAGUAGGUGAGAAGCUCCUCGGUACCAUCAAAUAUUGAAUCACACUGCACUUCAGCUGCUUUGCCCUCAUCCAAGAGGAUAAAACAUUUCAGUUUGUCUACACUUUUGAGCUGUCUUUGAAUAGCAGGAAUAGCUUGGAUCACUUGGGAAAUGGAGAAUGUCUUUGGGCAUGCAUCAGGAAGAAGCAACAAGGCUCACAGUGUACCAGUCCUCUUACUGAAAGGGCUUCCUGCUGGAUUUAGGAGAGAAAAAAAAUAAAUAAUGAUUUUCAUCAAAUAUAUGGCACUUUUCCAGAAAACAAAAACAAAAUAAAAACAAAAAUAAAAACA